ACGAACGCUGGCGGCAUGCCUAACACAUGCAAGUCGAACGAGACCUUCGGGUCUAGUGGCGCACGGGUGCGUAACGCGUGGGAACCUGCCCUUAGGUUCGGAAUAACUCCCCGAAAGGGGUGCUAAUACCGGAUAAUGUCUUCGGACCAAAGAUUUAUCGCCUUUGGAUGGGCCCGCGUUGGAUUAGCUAGUUGGUAGGGUAAAAGCCUACCAAGGCGACGAUCCAUAGCUGGUCUGAGAGGAUGAUCAGCCACACUGGGACUGAGACACGGCCCAGACUCCUACGGGAGGCAGCAGUGGGGAAUAUUGGACAAUGGGCGAAAGACUGAUCCAGCAAUGCCGCGUGAGUGAUGAAGGCCUUAGGGUUGUAAAGCUCUUUUACCCGGGAAGAUAAUGACAGUACCGGGAGAAUAAGCUCCGGCUAACUCCGUG
rnacentral:rRNA from 1 species